GAAAUUAGAAAUUAUUCUCAUCAGAAAUCAACGAACAAGUCAAACUGAAUUAUUUUAUCCAGUGUGAUGAUUUAUUGCAGGUCAAUUUAAACGGAAUAAAUGCACAAACUGCACAAAAAAUUUUAUUAGGUUAUGCUAUGUUCUACUGCGAUUAGAUGAAAAAGCGGGGGCCUGCAUGUUCUUCAACGGUUAAUUUAAUUAGGAUGGAUUUUUUGCCUCCAGGAAGCAUCUUCAUUACAGGAAAUUUUUGAGAGAGAAAUGUAGAACAUUGACUCAUCAACAUUUUAAAGUAUUUUUCUCUAUUACGAAUGUGUUUUGGGAUUCAGAAACUUUUGUAUUACUGUUUUAUUUGUUUAUUGUGUUAACAACAACAAAAAUAAAAAUAAUAUUUCGCAAAAGAAA